rnacentral:tRNA from 1 species
GCCUGGGUAGCUUAGUGGGUUAAAGCUUCUGAUUUCGGCUCAGGUCAUGAUCCCCGGGUCCUGGGAUCGAGCCCUGCACCGGGCU